ACUUUUUCCUUCUACUUACUUCCAUUGCCUUCUUUGUACCAGAUGCUUUGUUGUAUAAAUACCAUCAAAUAGAGCAUUCUUGUAUAAAGGAAGUUGUUGGAAGUAAAACACUGUACAUUGA
rnacentral:precursor_RNA from 15 species